rnacentral:misc_RNA from 1 species
UACGUAGGGCGCAAGCGUUGUUCGGAAUUAUUGGGCGUAAAGAGCUCGUAGGCGGCUUGUCGCGUCGGCUGUGAAAGCCCGGGGCUCAACCCCGGGUCUGCAGCGGGUACGGGCAGACUAGAGUGCAGUAGAGGAGACUGGAAUUCCUGGUGUAGCGGUGAAAUGCGCAGAUAUCAGGAGGAACACCGAUGGCGAAGGCAGGUCUCUGGGCUGUAACUGACGCUGAGGAGCGAAAGCGUGGGGAGCAAACAGG